rnacentral:rRNA from 1 species
UACGUAGGGUCCGAGCGUUGUCCGGAAUUACUGGGCGUAAAGGGCUCGUAGGUGGUUUGGCGCGUCGUUCGUGAAAACUCACAGCUCAACUGUGGGCGUGCGGGCGAUACGGGCAGACUAGAGUACUGCAGGGGAGACUGGAAUUCCUGGUGUAGCGGUGGAAUGCGCAGAUAUCAGGAGGAACACCGGUGGCGAAGGCGGGUCUCUGGGCCUGUACUGACGCUGAGGAACGAAAGCGUGGGGAGCGAACAGG